rnacentral:lncRNA from 1 species
ACUAGAACUAGCAGACAAGGUUGCAAGGAAUUUGGGUGAAAUUCAAAUUGAAUAUGAGGGAGGAAAAUUAGGGAUUUGGAAUCUUGUGAAAUUAUGGAAAUUAAAGUGGAAAAAUAAAAGAAAUAAAAAUAGUGUCUGCCCUUUUAAAAGAAAGAGCCACAUUAAUGACAAAUCAUUCCCUAGCAUUGAAAAUAAUAUCUAUUCCUUUAGCACACGCUACCUAAACACAACAAUCUCCAUUUCCAUUCAACUUCUCAGAGAAGCUCAGCUAGGGCAAAGAAACUUUUCUCAAAAGUCCUACAACAUGUCUC